rnacentral:rRNA from 1 species
UACGAGGGGGGCGAGCGUUGUUCGGAAUUAUUGGGCGUAAAGGGUGCGUAGGCGGUUUUGUAAGUCUUAUGUGAAAUCUACAGGCUCAACUUGUAGUCUGCAUGAGAAACUGCAGGGCUUGAGUAUGGGAGAGGUGAGUGGAAUUCCUGGUGUAGCGGUGAAAUGCGUAGAUAUCAGGAGGAACACCAGUGGCGAAGGCGAGUCCCUGGACAACACCUGACACUGAGGCACGAAAGCUAGGAGAGCAACAGGAUAGACUACCUAGUCAG